rnacentral:snRNA from 1 species
GCUGCUGAUCCCUAUGUUUCCCAGGGUGAGGCUCAUCCAUUGUACUUUGGGUGUGCAGCUGAUCCCUAUGAUUUCCCCAAAUGUGGGGAAUUCAACUGCAUAAUUUGUGUUAAUGGGGGAUUGUGUUUGUGAUUUCCUUG